rnacentral:miRNA from 1 species
GAGUCGAGGACUGGUGGAAGGGCCUUUCCCCUCAGACCAAGGCCCUGGCCCCAGCUUCUUCUUCUC